rnacentral:lncRNA from 1 species
GGAUGGGAUCUUCGCACCUAAAAGAAUCCGUUCCAUCUGCAUUAAUACUGGACUAGGCACGCUAGAUACCUACCGCUGCCAUUCUUAGUGCAAUGCCGUCCUCAAUCUGGGAUAGGAUACAUUCAUGGUAAUCCGAAUCUUCUCAAGCCCUUUUGUCUUUUUGGUGCAUGAAACUGAAGAAUUCUAUAUUUAUUUGAUUUCAGUUGGAUGCUAACUGAUCAAUCUGUAUCUACUUAGUAAGGAAUGCAUUGCUAACUCACUGGCAGCACCCUUCCAUUGUGAUAGUACAAGAGAAACUGCACAUGGUCUGGACUGUUGCAUUAUAAUGUUUUGCAUGGUACAACUCAGGAUUCAUGGAAAAUUUAUAGUGUGGCAACAUUAUCUUUUACCCCCCUCGGAAGUUUCAUGUUCCCUUAUUUUAUCAAGGCUUUCCGUGUCAAGUAAUGCUUGCUUAGUGCUUGCUCAUUUAUACUACAUCUUUUUGCA